GGGGAUAUGGCGAAAUUGGCAGCCGCGCUGGUUUCAAGUCCCAGUGUCGAAAGACGUGAGGGUUCAAAUCCCUCUAUCCCUACCA
rnacentral:tRNA from 1 species